rnacentral:rRNA from 1 species
GACGUAGGGCGCGAGCGUUGUCCGGAUUUAUUGGGCGUAAAGAGCUCGUAGGCGGCUUGUUGCGUCAGCUGUGAAAACCCGCAGCUCAACUGUGGGCUUGCAGCUGAUACGGGCAAGCUUGAGUUCGGUAGGGGAGACUGGAAUUCCUGGUGUAGCGGUGAAAUGCGCAGAUAUCAGGAGGAACACCGGUGGCGAAGGCGGGUCUCUGGGCCGAUACUGACGCUGAGGAGCGAAAGCGUGGGGAGCGAACAGG